rnacentral:rRNA from 1 species
UACGAAGGGGGCUAGCGUUGCUCGGAAUCACUGGGCGUAAAGGGUGCGUAGGCGGGUCUUUAAGUCAGGGUGAAAUCCUGGAGCUCAACUCCAGAACUGCCUUUGAUACUGAGGAUCUUGAGUUCGGGAGAGGUGAGUGGAACUGCGAGUGUAGAGGUGAAAUUCGUAGAUACUUGCAAGAACACCAGUGGCGAAGGCGGACUCACUGGCCCGAG